rnacentral:rRNA from 1 species
AUGAAGAGUGAUUGUGCUGGAGUGAAGCUCACAAAUGAGAUGGAUAGAUGUGUAUGGACACUGACUAAAACUGUCAAAUUUACGGUUAAGUCGGUGUACGGUGCUAUUAAGGCUAGACAAGUCCCAUGUCCUUUUAGGAAACUUCGGUUCAUUUGGAUUCCUUUAUAUUUAGAAGUUGAAGUGUUCUUGUGGCUGGUUAGUAGGAAAAGUAGGAUGAUCUGUUACAUAGAGGAUGGAUGGGUAGUUCGUGGGUGUAUGUUUUGCAGCCAGUUGGAUGAGGGGAUUGACCAUUUGUUUUUAACUUUCCCGGUAGUGAGGCGUGUUUGGUAUGUGGUGAAAUGUGCUUUGCCUGCAGUCUAG